CCAACCCGUUCUCAUCAGUCUGCGUAUAAAUAACACGACUUUACACUUUCUAUUUGCGUGUAAUGCAUACGCCAAAUGCCAUUUUUGCGUGCAUAUGAUACGCCAAUCCUUCCCAUUAAUUUCGGUGGAGAGCAGAUGCGUCCAAAUAACACGCAUCAUCUUCAGCGGCAGUGACGUCACUAGCGAGGCUCGUUCAGUUCACCUGAUGCGCGUACACCUUCAAACAGGUAAGCAAGGUUACGUCGGAUUACAUACUCCACAACAACCUGUAAUCCAGCAGAUCUUUAAAGAAGCCAUCUCUUGUAAAAUCUCUCUCUCUCUCUCUCUCUCUCUCUCUCUCUCGCUCUGCUAGAAUUAACAGGGAACUUCAACUCCACGCUCCCAAUGCUGAUAUUGAAGAAGCUGUCAAUGGGGCUGAACAAGUCCUUCAAAGGAUCAACCCUUCACAGGAAGGCCUGUCAUGAGAUUUGAAUUUGACCAUCUUGUGCAUUUAUGAAGAAGACCAAAAGCUGCAAAGGCAAACACUUCCAAUGGAUUUCUCACAGAUUACUUAAUCAUUCUUCAUCAGCUCUUCACAAUAUCAGCCCAAAAGCUUCCAGAUCUUCCUCUCUUGUGUGACACAUCUGCUCUCAGUCCUUUACUGCCAACCUCCAGUCUUAGCAUUUCUGCUUGUAUUCAUUUUUCCUCUACAUUCAUCACUCCAAUCUCUACUAUAAGCACUCCUGUAUAUAUAUAUAUAUAUAUACACAUAAUAAUAAUUAUUAUUAUUAACCAUUUAUUUGUUUUGCAUUUAUUCACAAUAGAAGCAAACAAUGAUUACAGGAUAUAUGUUUUUAAAGGUGAUAAUUGUAAAAUAUUGGAGCAUUGUUCUUAAUCAUUUUUGCCUAUUUGGUUGAUAAAGGGAAGAAAACAAUAUAUUUUCAACUGUAGCCUUGAUUAUUCUUUGGCAUCUUUUGUCAGGAUUUCUGUAAACAAAUUCCCUUUUUAUUUUUGAAUAUUAAACUUAUGUUUUUUGAAGGGAGUUUCUGUUGCAAUUUUGUUUGUUUUCACUUAGUUACCUCUAUGCAUUUUUAUUUUUUUAUCAACUUUUCUUUUUUUUCAUAGUGGAAUAAACUGGAGAGAGACUGUUCUGGGCACUAUGUUUAUCUGCGAAAAGUUUGACAUAUCAAUAAACACUGUAAAAUGACUAGACAAUGAGUGAUUGAUGUCAUGAUGUUUGUUUGUUUGUUUUCUAUUCCUAUAGUUCAACUGGUGGAUCUAAGAAUGGCAAGUUUUUAGGGUCCAUUUCCAUGAAACGUAGAUGUGAUAAAUUGUUUACCUUUAAUACACUAUAAAUACAUUGUAAAUAUUACAGAAGGAAAAUUGAGUAGUAGAAAAAUAUUGUGUUUAAAUAAUCUUCAGAGGUGUUUUUUUUAAGCAAAUGAAACAUUUUGACAUUUAUUUUUCACACAGUAUAUGCAAACUUUUGAGUUUAAGUACUGUACACUAAUAUUAGUGUAAACAAUGUAGCCUAUUCAAUACAAUGGGAAUCAUUAUACCUUCGUUAAAACACAAAACAAAAAAACACCUUUAAUCAACGUAUUUCUUGCUGCAUCAGGGUAACUGCAGCUUCUGUCCAUUCACUACAGGAACCCGGAAGCUCCCGGCAUAAAUGACCAUAUAUGUACAAGUUAGUGUGACGCCUCUGCUCAACUGGGUUGCCAUUGGCUUUGACGUUCCCUUGGCUCUCGCAGAACUCGCUGUGAUUGGACUAUCUUUUAACCCAAAUUAUAAACCGCUUAAUGUUGCAAAGUC